CCAAGAAACUUCUUCUCGCAUAAAUACUGGCACAGUUCGUCGUGAUCGAGGGCGAAACCCUUCUCUUUCACUCUCUCUCAAGCUGCUGCCUGCUUUGCACCGGUAAAUAAUUAUCAUUCGUGAAUGAAAUUGAGUAAAUUUUAUGUUCUUAUCAUUGUAAAUUUCGCCUCGUCUUAGGUUUUUUUUCUUAUUAGAUAUUGGUCCCGCAUGUAAUGUUCGUUACUGGGUCUAUUACAUAUAAAGAAGUUUGUGAUCAUAGACCGUCUGAUUUUCUUGAAAUUUAUGUUUCCUGCUUGUGACUCAUCAUUUAUUGUGUGUUUUGUUGUGUGUAUAGAUACGAAUAUACCCUAAGCCAUCACUUUGAACCUUGGAAAUUGGGGCAAAAUUCAAAAUGUCAAGGGUGUGUAUUACAAAGAAACCUCCAUUUCAUGGUUUCUCUUUUAGGUUGGUGGUUUACAGAAAGUAUAAGAAACGUAGUACCACUGCAAAGUGAAAUGGUCAAACUGUUAAAAUUUUGGUUUGCUCUAUUUCAUUUGUAAUACUAUUUUGAUUGUUGAGGUUUAAAAUUUUGAGUUAAAUUUGACGAUAGAAGACUGUUAGAGGAAAAUUGUAUUUCUUUCGGCAGUGUUUUUAUAUGUCUCUAUUCGCACUUUGAUUAAAUGUAAUAUAUUUUCACCAUAAAAUCAAUCUUGGCAAUAUUUUAAAAUAAAUAUCAGUUUAUUUUAAUAUUCUGUAAAAAGUUUUAUUCUAAUGAUUAAUUACAGACCAAAGGUCUUGAGUGGCCUCAAAAGAUAAGAAUUUUAAAUGAAAUUAGGUGAUAAGAUCCUUGGCUCAUGAAGUAUUUCUGGAAUAAUAAUGGCCCAUAACUAUGACUACUUGUACACCUCACUUCUUAGAUAUUAGAGGAGUUGGGUAUUUUAUACCGUCUCUGUGAUUUUGAAUAAUCUUUCAAGUUUACAUGUUACCAAGAGCCCACCACGCCCCUUUUUUAAUCUUCCUGUACGUGAUUAUCUUAUGCAUGAUGCAGUUAUCCACCUUUGAACAGUUUUUUCCCUUCAAUCUGUCAAAUAUUUCAAAAUGGUGUGGCAGUCUUAAACCUUCAUAUUUAGCUGCAUAAACUAUUUAAUUUUUUUUACCUUCUGAU
rnacentral:lncRNA from 1 species